rnacentral:rRNA from 1 species
AUGAACGCUGGCGGCGUGCCUAAUACAUGCACGUCGAGCGAACAGACGAGGAGCUUGCUCCUCUGACGUUAGCGGCGGACGGGUGAGUAACACGUGGAUAACCUACCUAUAAGACUGGGAUAACUUCGGGAAACCGGAGCUAAUACCGGAUAAUAUAUUGAACCGCAUGGUUCAAUAGUGAAAGACGGUUUUGCUGUCACUUAUAGAUGGAUCCGCGCCGCAUUAGCUAGUUGGUAAGGUAACGGCUUACCAAGGCAACGAUGCGUAGCCGACCUGAGAGGGUGAUCGGCCACACUGGAACUGAGACACGGUCCAGACUCCUACGGGAGGCAGCAGUAGGGAAUCUUCCGCAAUGGGCGAAAGCCUGACGGAGCAACGCCGCGUGAGUGAUGAAGGUCUUCGGUUCGUAAAACUCUGUUAUUAGGGAAGAACAAAUGUGUAAGUAACUAUGCACGUCUUGACGGUACCUAAUCAGAAAGCCACGGCUAACUACGUG